UACGUAGGGGGCAAGCGUUGUCCGGAAUUAUUGGGCGUAAAGCGCGCGCAGGCGGUCAUUUAAGUCUGGUGUUUAAACCUUGGGCUCAACCUGAGGUCGCACUGGAAACUGGGUGACUUGAGUACAGAAGAGGAAAGUGGAAUUCCACGUGUAGCGGUGAAAUGCGUAGAUAUGUGGAGGAACACCAGUGGCGAAGGCGACUUUCUGGGCUGUAACUGACGCUGAGGCGCGAAAGCGUCGGGAGCAAACAGG
rnacentral:rRNA from 1 species